rnacentral:rRNA from 1 species
CCUACGGGUGGCAGCAGUGGGGAAUAUUGCACAAUGGGCGAAAGCCUGAUGCAGCAACGCCGCGUGAGCGAUGAAGGUCUUCGGGUCGUAAAGCUCUGUCCUCAACGAAGAUAAUGACGGGACUUGAGGAGGAAGCCCCGGCAAACUACGUGCCAGCUGCCGCGGUAAUAAGUAGGGGGCUAGCGUUAUACGGAAUUACUGGGGGUAAAGGGUGCGGAGGUGGUUUCUAAAGUCAGAGGGGAAAGGCUGGGGCUAAACCGUAGUAAGCCAUUGAAACUGGGAAACUUGAGUGCAGGAGAGGGGAGUGGAAUUCCUAGGGUAGCGGUGAAAUGCGUAGAUAUUAGGAGGAACACCAGUUGCGAAGGCGGCUCUCUGGAUUGUAACUGACGCUGAGGCACGAAAGCGUGGGGAGCAAACAGGAUUAGAUACCCCGGUAGUC